GGGAGUGAAAUAGAACCUGAAACCCUGCACUUACAAGCUGUGGAAGCACAUUUCUUGUGUGACCGCGUACUUUUUGUAGAACGGGCCAACGAGUUACGUUAAGUAGCAAGGUUAAGCACUUAAGGUGCGGAGCCGUAGCGAAAGCGAGUUUUAACUGAGCGUUCAGUUACUUGACGUAGACCCGAAACCGGGCGACCUACCCAUGAGCA
rnacentral:rRNA from 1 species